rnacentral:rRNA from 1 species
CUACGGGAUGCAGCAGUGGGGAAUAUUGCACAAUGGGCGCAAGCCUGAUGCAGCCAUGCCGCGUGUAUGAAGAAGGCCUUCGGGUUGUAAAGUACUUUCAGCGGGGAGGAAGGGAGUAAAGUUAAUACCUUUGCUCAUUGACGUUACCCGCAGAAGAAGCACCGGCUAACUCCGUGCCAGCAGCCGCGGUAAUACGGAGGGUGCAAGCGUUAAUCGGAAUUACUGGGCGUAAAGCGCACGCAGGCGGUUUGUUAAGUCAGAUGUGAAAUCCCCGGGCUCAACCUGGGAACUGCAUCUGAUACUGGCAAGCUCGAGUCUGGUAGAGGGGGGUAGAAUUCCAGGUGUAGCGGUGAAAUGCGUAGAGAUCUGGAGGAAUACCGGUGGCGAAGGCGGCCCCCUGGACGAAGACUGACGCUCAGGUGCGAAAGCGUGGGGAGCAAACAGGAUUAGAUACCCUAGUAGUC